GGUAGUUUUGAAAAGUCUCCCAUCUGUUUCUAAGCGAUUUGUAGGCCUCAACCCAGAAAGUAGGACAAAAGCUGCAAAAGGAAAAGUGGCAUCAAAUACAACAGGACGACUUAUGCAAAACACUAGGUCAACAGUGAAUCCGUGUGUCUCCAUUCUCCUCCUUCAUGGACUACCAGUGUAGCUUUUAAAAUGUAACCCUUUGAUUUCUGGAGAAGUUCAGGACUGAGAUCAACUCAGAACUCAUUCAUGUUUGUUUUGUUUGGGUGUUCACUAAGUAUUAAACUUGCCCAAAUGUUUAAGUUGUACUGUUGGGGUUCCAAUAAAGUUUUGAAAAAUAUGUCCCUUC